rnacentral:rRNA from 1 species
AUGUGGGACGGGCUGCACCUCGUGGACGGCCGCGGGUGCGUGGAGGAGGCUAACGAGCUCGUCCAGGGGUACAACGCCAGGGUGGAGGCGCAGCUGGACGCGCUCCGGCCGGAGCUGCCCGGCGCCGACAUCGUCUUCUGCGACGUCUACAAGGGGGUCAUGGAGAUGAUCACCAAUCCCGCCGCCUAUGGUAACAUUACUUUUACGAACCGGGAUUAUCUGUUAUGUGCAUGA